rfam:Octopus bimaculoides Scaffold171569_contig_6, whole genome shotgun sequence.
GGCAGUUUAGCUUAAUGGUAAAGCACUCAGCUGGAGUCUUUGAGGGAUAUGGGUUCAUGUCCUAUGGCUGGUU